GCGUCAUUUACAUCUUCAAGCUCUGCUUGGUGUUGGGCGUCUGUUCUGCCUCAGUGCAUGGACUCGCUUCAAAUUGAUUGGCAGUCGGUAGACUUGGCUUUGCGUGCAGCACAUUGCACAGCAGCCCCAGCCUACUGUGCUUCCAGUAAGCUCCUCUAUUGUUUGACCUCGGAUCAGGUAGGGAUACCCGCUGAACUUAA
rnacentral:misc_RNA from 1 species